UCACUGCUAUUAUUGUAAUAACUUUCUUCCUUACAUCCAGUCUGAAUCUUCCCUCUUUUAGUUUGAAUUUAUUUCCCUUGUUCUGCUGCUCAAUGGUCUGUCCUCUUCUUUUUUCUGUCUCCCCUUAAGAUACUGAAAGGCUGCUGUUCUGGUCUCCACAGAACCUUCUCUUCUCCAGGCUGAACAGCCCCAGCUCUGUCAGCCUGUCCUUGUAGGAGAGGUGUUCCAUCCCUUGGAUCAUUUUUGUGGCCCUCCUCUGGAUGCACUCCAGCAGCUCCACAUCUUUCCUAUACUGAGGACUCCACAUCUGGACUCAGCUUUACGGAAUAUGGAGUAAUUUGGAACAGCGACUGAUCCUUUCUCAGCUUACCAAUGCAAAAUAAUGCAUUGUUUUAUAUCUAGAUGACCUUGAGAGGAGAAAUUGAGUAGGAAUGGACUGAAACAGGUGUGUCUCUUCCUUAC
ensembl:lncRNA